rnacentral:rRNA from 1 species
GUGCCUCACACAUGCAAGUCGAACGGGGUAGCAAUACCCAGUGGCGGACGGGUGAGUAACACGUGGGGAUCUGCCUUUAGAUGGGGGAUAGCAGGCCGAAAGGCCUAUUAAUACCGCAUACGCCGAAAGGUAAAAGGAGCAAUCCGUCUGAAGAUGAGCCCGCGCCCGAUUAGCUAGUUGGUAGGGUAAAGGCCUACCAAGGCAACGAUCGGUAGCUGGUCUGAGAGGAUGAUCAGCCACAAUGGAACUGAGACACGGUCCAU